rnacentral:lncRNA from 1 species
AGUAGGAGGCAGCUCAACCUGCAUGACACAGGACACCAGCGAUAGUCAUACCAGGACCAGACUCAUAGAUGAAAUGAAGUGUCAUCAUCCAUCACUAUGAACUUCCUUCAUGAGAGAGAAAAGGGGAAAAAGUGAUCUGUGGUCAUGGCAAAGUGACCAGCCUUGCUGAGUACACUCCCUGUUCUGAUUUCUGCCACACCACAGCAAUGGCACCCAUGGGCAGAAGCUCCGGAAAGUGAUCCAACUGAAAUCUUCUCACUUGUGUUUAUCUAAGGGAUUUUGUUUGAUUGACGAAAAAUUAAUCCAGCUGUAAAUUCCAUAGUCAAGUAAACCUGGCACAUAUAGACAGACUGCCUUUCAAUUCCUGUAGAAUUUAUGUUCCUUUUGGAGUUCUUUGUUUAUGUCACCGUUACUAAAUUUAAUUUUUAAGCUUUAAUUUUCCCAAUUAUGAACUAUACAGCGUGACUUACUGUUUUGUAAGUCUUUAUUUAUUGACAGAAUGACUAUUUUGUAAAUGUUAUUCCCAUAUGCAUGUUUAUGCUUUCUCUGUGUCCUGUAAAUGGUAUGUGUCUUGGUUAGGGCUAACAUUGCUGUGAUGAAACACCGUGAUCAAAGGCAAGUUGGGGAGGAGAGGGUUUAUUUGGCUUACACUUUAAAUCCCUGUUCAUCAUUGAAGGAAGGCAGGGCAGGGACCUGGAGGCAGGAGCUGAUGCAGAGGCCAUGGAGGGGUGCUGCAUAGUGCCUUGCUUGCUCCUUAUGGCUUGCUCUUAUAGAACCCAGGACCACCAGCUCAGGGGUGGAACCACUCUGUCCCAUCAAUUGCUAAUGAAGAAAAUGUCAUACUGGCUUGCCUACAGCCUGAUGUUAUAGAGUCAGCUAAGGGGCUCUCCCCUCUGGUGACUCUAGCCUGUGUCAAGCUGACACAGAAUCAGCCAGCACAGCAUGUUUUAUAUAAAAUUGCCUUUGCGUAUUGAUUUAUGACUUCUCUAUCAUUUUAUUUUAUUAGUACUAAGGAUUGAACCCAGGACUUUGGGCAUGCUAAAUAUGUUCUCUACCACUGAACUAUACUACAGAUCCUAUAUAAUUUUAAUCAUCAAUUAGCUUUACAUAUAGUUCAAUGGUAAAUCUACUUAUUUUGGUGUAUAUAAAUCCCACCACCUAGUUAGCUUUCCAGGUGGAUGCAGCUAUUUAAACACAUCUCGUUUUGGAUCUUGUGGCUAACAUUUUAAAAAUAUACUUACUGUCAUUAUAAGGUUUAGGAAAGCAUAGAAAUAAAUAUAUGUGAUUAAUUGUGGGCUGGUGAUCUAAAUUCACCUCUAAACCAAGACACCUUUGAGUGUAAAAGAUAGUAUUAUUAUAUUGAAAAUAUAACCUGGGAGUGCUUCAGCAUAUAAUUAAUCAAUUAACUCCAGAAAAUAAUUUAAGUUACAAAAGAUUUUUGACACAUUAACAUGUGUGUUUAUAUUUUAUAUUUCUAUACUACUGUAAGAAUAUUGUCUAUUCAAAUAUGUAUAUUUCCUAAAUGAACUUUGUAUCUCUAUGUUCAUAUGUUUGUAUCAUGUUUGUAACUGAGGCUAUGAAAAAGAAAAAAAAUCUGAUACAUAUCUAUAAUUAUGAAAUAAGCAUGUACAUUAAAAACUGCCCUACAUACCCACAAUAGUGGGUAAGAAAGCAAAGCAGAGGCAGUGAUUCCAUUUUCAUCAGUGUAAAACAGUAGAAAGUAACUUUCAAAUGGUCAGAAAACUAUACAGGAUCAAUAGAAAGAACAAAUAAAUAUUUUUGAAGAUACUUUCAA